GACGAACGCUGGCGGCGUGCUUAACACAUGCAAGUCGAACGAAGAGCGAUGGAAGCUUGCUUCUAUCAAUCUUAGUGGCGAACGGGUGAGUAACGCGUAAUCAACCUGCCCUUCAGAGGGGGACAACAGUUGGAAACGACUGCUAAUACCGCAUACGAUCUAACCUCGGCAUCGAGGAUGGAUGAAAGGUGGCCUCUAUUUAUAAGCUAUCACUGAAGGAGGGGAUUGCGUCUGAUUAGCUAGUUGGAGGGGUAACGGCCCACCAAGGCGAUGAUCAGUAGCCGGUCUGAGAGGAUGAACGGCCACAUUGGGACUGAGACACGGCCCAGACUCCUACGGGAGGCAGCAGUGGGGAAUCUUCCGCAAUGGACGAAAGUCUGACGGAGCAAUGCCGCGUGAGUGAUGACGGCCUUCGGGUUGUAAAGCUCUGUUAAUCGGGACGAAAGGCCUUCUUGCGAAUAGUUAGAAGGAUUGACGGUACCGGAAUAGAAAGCCACGGCUAACUACGUG
rnacentral:rRNA from 1 species